UCCCACAGUGUUGCAUUCAAAUGGGUGACAAAGGUCCACGAAUUUCUCGAUCAUUAUAUUGUAUCACAACAGGUCAUCUGGGUUGCCAGGAAAGACCGUUGAUGGUAUAAUGAACACUUCCGAUUUACUGCUGAGGAAGUGGCAGGUCUCAUUUACGUCAGUGACACCAAUGAUUUCUGCCUCAGUUUCCUCAACCUGGCCUCAGGUAUCUGUGGAAAGAAAUCAAUGUGGGAAAUGUCAGUGUAUUAGUACUAAAAACACCUCAAUUGUAAACUAUGGCAGCAGUUGUGCAUUAUGUACCUGCACAGACGUGUAGGCUGAGGAGUGGAAUUUCCCCUGGCCAUUCUUAAAAAUGCAGGGGCGAAGGUGUGUGAGCACCACCUCGUCACCCACGCAGAGGUCCGUCAGCGCCUCGUCUCUCCACAGCGACACGUCAAAGGACUUGCCUCCAGACUGGAGCCGCAUGUCCAGAAUGGGGACAUUUGUCCUGGUCAUCCUCACGCCACGCAACUGGAAAUAUUAAACUCAGGGUUCGGUGAUUAAUUUUAGUUGCAAUACACUUGCACCGCAGAAAUGGAGAUGGAGUCUGAGUCGGAGUUGCCAUGCUGAAGAGAAGGCAGAGAAAGGUUGAAUAGUGGCUACUGCAGUUGAAUUUUCCUAUAGGGCUUGGGCGUCGUGACGUCAUUACUGGCGUGGCGGCCAUGUUGGCCGCUCACACGCAUGUAAACAUACAGCAAAUCGAACGAGGAGAAGCAGCUGAGUCUCAGGUGCACACAUCACUCCACUUUUCCAUCAUUUAUUACGUGUGUGGACAGGAGAGACAGUAGCACUGGAAGAGACACCAGCUUACCUCUGUGUGUCCACAGAUGUGUGUGUGUGUGUGUGUGUGUGUGUUAGUGUUAAAACA